CCUGUUGCACCAAAAUGGUUCUAAAAAAAAGGAGCUAUUUGAAGAAAAGUCUUUAAGAGAAGAAAGAACAAAGAUAAGAGACUUUUAUCAGAAGGACAGGUGAAGACAAGGAUAGUUUAGAAGUCAGAUAUGCCUACUUAUUUCAAGAAAAGUUCAAUGAAAUAUUGAUUGCCUACUGUAUGCUCAGAACUGCACAAGUGAUAUCAUCA
rnacentral:lncRNA from 12 species